UACGUAGGGGGCUAGCGUUGUCCGGAAUUACUGGGCGUAAAGAGCUCGUAGGUGGUUUGUCGCGUUGUCCGUGAAAACUCACAGCUCAACUGUGGGCGUGCGGGCGAUACGGGCAGACUGGAGUACUGCAGGGAGACUGGAAUUCCUGGUGUAGCGGUGGAAGUGCGCAGAUAUCAGGAGGAACACCGGUGGCGAAGGCGGGUCUCUGGGCAGUAACUGACGCUGAGGAGCGAAAGCGUGGGGAGCGAACAGGAUUAGAUACCUUGUAGCUC
rnacentral:rRNA from 1 species